GAUGAACGCUGGCGGCGUGCUUAACACAUGCAAGUCGAACGGGAAAUCUUUCCUUGUGACUUCGGCGGAUUUGAUUUAUUUCUAGUGGAGGACGGGUUAGUCACGCGUGGGUAACCUGCCUUAUACAGGGGGAUAACAGUCAGAAAUGGCUGCUAAUACCGCAUAAGCGCACAGAGCGGCAUGGCUCAGUGUGAAAAACUCCGGUGGCAUAAGAUGGACCCGUGUUGGAUUAGCUGGCUGGUGGGGUAACGGCCCAGCAAUGCGACGAUCCAUAGCCGGGCGGGGAGGGGGCACGGCCACAAUUGGACUGCGGCCCGGCCCAGACUCCGACGGGAGGCAGCAGUGGGGAGUACUGCACAAUGAGGCAAACCCUGAUGCAGCGGCGCCGCGGGAAGGAAGAAGUAGCUCGGUAUGUAAACUUCUAUCAGCAGGGAAGAUAGUGACGGUACCUGACUAAGAAGCCCCGGCUAACUACGUG
rnacentral:rRNA from 1 species